GACAGAGGCCUCAAGCGUUAGGCGGAAUCACUGGGCUUAAAGCGCGUGUAGGCGGUCCGGUAAGUCGGCUGUGAAAGUCCAGGGCUCAACCCUGGGAUGCCGGUCGAUACUGCCGGACUAGAGUUCGGAAGAGGUGAGUGGAAUUCCCCGGUGUAGCGGUGAAAUGCGCAGAUAUCGGGGAGGAACACCAAUGGCGAAGGCAGCUCGCUGGGACGUUACUGACGCUGAGACGCGAAAGCGUGGGGAGCAAACAGG
rnacentral:rRNA from 1 species